CAUAUACUUCGAUUGGGUGUGCGCGUGUGUGAGCUCAUCAACUUGUUUUUCAGCGAUCCGUGAAUUUGUGGAUUAACGUUCCUUGUACAAGUUUCUUCCUUAACUGCGAUACGAAACGUUCAUGAUGUCGACACCUGAAGCUGGAAACUCAAAUGGUUUUCCUAAAUUACCGCCUCCGCCUACGGACAGUACGCAGCCGGCUGGAGCCAACGCAUCCAACAAUGCUACCACCAAUCGAUUGAAGCAAACGCAGGCCCAGGUCGAUGAAGUAGUUGGAAUUAUGCGUGUUAACGUGGAAAAGGUGUUAGAACGCGACCAAAAACUUUCGGAAUUGGAUCAGCGUGCCGAUGCCCUGCAGCAUGGAGCAUCGCAAUUCGAGCAACAGGCCGGCAAACUCAAGAGAAAACAAUGGUGGGCUAACAUGAAGAUGAUGAUCAUCAUGGGUGUGAUUGGCGUGGUACUGCUAAUAAUUAUCAUUCUGUCCAUCAUUUAUUAAGCAACAUUUUACUUUGCAUUAUUAUAUAUACUCAGAUAUUUGUUCUUAAAUCGAUGCAUAAAUCUUUGUUGCAACGGGGAGGUUUGAAAAACAUAUUUGUGAUAUAUCUUUGUCACACCGUUUAAUACUACGCGAGGGUAUACUUGAAUAGACGUUCCAACAAAGAACUAAUACCAACUUGUUCUACAAUAAUUUUCUCUUCGUUAACUAUCAUAGAUGAAUCCAAUGUUGUUUUUAAUUUUAACACUAGGGUUAUCCAGUAAUAGCGUGUGUGCAACAAGGACAUUUCACUUUUCAAAUGUAUAUUUAACGUUACAUGUUAUCUGCUGGAAAUUCACAUAUGUUUAUGAUGCAAUAUAUCAUAGGUAAAUAGACGUGUAAAAUCCACAAAUGUCUAUGUUUCAUUACAAGUUACAGGCUUAUAUUUCAAGUAUAGAAACAUAUAUGUAUAAAAAAACAUUGACUGCGAUUCGUAAAGAUAUCACGUGGUUUGCAAUAUAUCUACGCUUCGAUGCACUAUUUCAUUUUAAUCCCUGUUAGCUGUUGUUCAUAUGAAGCUUCGGAGUUUUGUGUAAGGGAAACGUUCCAAUUAGAGUACCAACCAUCUUUUUUCGUGUUUUAUUAAAGUUUAAUUGAAUCAAAUUCAUUUUUUACAUCUAUUUGUUGUGAUUGAAUGUUUUUGGAAAAAGGUGACGGUAUAAAAUAUAUGCAUCAUGGAUUACAUUUCAUAAUCAACAGCGAGGUAUGCAUACAAUUGUGAAUUAGUUUGGAUUGUUCCCGGUGGAGGCUCUUCCAGCUCACCAUCAGUUGAAACGACUACAACGGUCAAGGAACAGGUAACCGAAUCGGCAUGAAUCCAAAGAAAAACACACAUUUUAGGGGGAAAAUGGUAAUUAC